CCUCGGGCCGGGAUGUUCACAACCCUUUGUUGUCCGACUCUGUUGCCUCCGGGGCGACCCUGCCUCCGGGCGGGGGCCCCGGGUGGACAUCUCAAACUCUUGCGUAACUUUGCAGUCUGAGUAAAUUUAAUUAAUAAAUUAAAACUUUCAACAACGGAUCUCUUGGUUCUGGCAUCGAUGAAGAACGCAGCGAAAUGCGAUAAGUAAUGUGAAUUGCAGAAUUCAGUGAAUCAUCGAAUCUUUGAACGCACAUUGCGCCCCCUGGUAUUCCGGGGGGCAUGCCUGUUCGAGCGUCAUUUCACCACUCAAGCCUCGCUUGGUAUUGGGCGACGCGGUCCGCCGCGCGCCUCAAAUCGACCGGCUGGGUCUUUCGUCCCCUCAGCGUUGUGGAAACUAUUCGCUAAAGGGUGCCGCGGGAGGCCACGCCGUAAAACAACCCCAUUUCUAAGGUUGACCUCGGAUCAGGUAGGGAUACCCGCUGAACUUAAGCAUAUCAAUAAGCGGAGG
rnacentral:rRNA from 1 species